UUGUAAAAUGAUGAACAGGAAAUCAAAUAGCAAUCAGCAAAUCUUCUUUUAAAAAAAGGACACUGAGAGAAAAGAAUUAAACAACAAGCAUUACAGAUAGGAGAAGAAAAGCAAAUUCACAUCUACAGUCCCAUGGGAAAAUAUAGAUGUAAUAAAUUCAGGGUAAAAUUUAAUUAAAACACUGAGCAAUGGGAUGGGGGACAAAAUACAGGUAUAUAGGAAAUCUUUGAGAAAUACUUCUGCAAGAACACAGUAAGGUCAUUAUUAUUCUGCUCAUACAGCUGUAAGUAAUCUGUAUACAUGCAUCAUACCACUAAUGGGGAGAAAAAUAAUUUUGUUCUGCUACCCAAGCAACUCCCAGUAAGAAGUGUUAAAAGAGCAUAACAACUUCUUGAUAACAUUCCAAAUAUGUUUGCGCCUAUCCCCAAGAUAGUAUCUGGUUUAUCAGUUCUGCUUUAUUUAAAUCUUAACUCCUCACUGUCCUGUCACAUUUUGGUUGAAAAUAAUCUAGAAAUUAUAAUGAUAAUUACAAAAGAGAGGGAGAAAAACAAUGGAUAUUCAAGGCUUUCUUUAACUAAAUUCUGCUAUUGAGCUCUGUGGAAGAAAACCAAUUCAGUAAGGCACAUAAUUCAUUAUUAAAGACAAGAAAUAAAUUACUUAAACUCUUAAUUGCACAGCACAGAUUAUAUAUUGCAAUUCAUUUAUUGGACUCUUUCUGCCAGGACACUAUAGCACAUGAUGGUCCAGACCCUCAGCCAUUGAGAGUUUGUUACAGACCUGUGACUCAGCUCAAAUACUGGCACUGCAGACAGAAAUGCUGAGAAUGGGCCAAACAACACAUAAACAGCCCUACAACAAGAGCAUGUGGAGCAGGUACAAAAGGAACCUGCCAAGUGGGACAGACACCUCCGGCCAUCAGAAAAGAGCACACAUCACCUUUGAGGCAAUGCUCCAAGUUCAGAGGAUGGCCAAGCAAAAAAUUUCAGUGUUUCAAAUUUUCACCUGAGCAGAGAACAUUUUGUCAGGAGACUAAAUGUACAUUUUGUCACUUGUAGUAGAGAGAGUGAGAAUAUGCAGGAAGAUUUUCACAAGGCUGGUUGGUUCUGCCAGCUGUGUGAGGUCACUCACAGCAUGCUACUUCCUGGGGAUUAUCCAGUGCAGAAACAAGUACAGCCAGUUGUCGCAAGCCUCUGCACAGUGGACUUCUGUGGUCACUGCCCAAAAUAUAAAUAGCUCCUAUCCAUCACUACCACUCCUGCAGAUCACUAGCUCCUCAGUGUAGGACUUCCCUAUCCUUGCCUGGUAUGUCUGUGACUUUACAGAGGCCUCCAAAUCAUGAUGUAGCAUGCAAUUGCAGGAGGAGAGAAUUUGUGGAUAAAAUCUAUCCCUGCCCACAUCAAACCCAUUUUCCAGAUAAAUAAAGAGCUAUCUAAAGAGUGGUCACCAAGAUUUUCAGAUAAACUAGAAACAAAAUAAAUCCCAACCUUAAUUUCAAAACAGCUUUGGUGCUGUACACCUGUGAUUCGGCAAACCUUGAGGCUAGGCAGUGAGAAGGCUGUCAGAAGGAGGAAGUAAAAGUGGAAAACAAAGAGAAAUCUAUCUCCCUAAACUCUCAGCGAGUUCCAUGCUGUCUUUGUAACACUAGGAGAUAAAACAUUUCAGGCAGAAAUGUAGAUUUUUAAGUUAAGAGCAUUCCUUCAAAACUCUGUGUUACCACGAUAAUGAAGUGUCUCCUGUUUGUGCUUUCUUGGCAAAGGCUUCCAACAUUCAGAAGGGAAAUGAGAGAAUUUGUAGAAGACAGAUGAAAACGUCUCUCAUUGAUAGAUGCAAGGAAGGUGUUCUGUUUUGUUAAAAUGGCCUCUAGGAAACGUUCAUUGCCCAACAACUGAUGUAUUAAUUAUUGAUAGGGAAAAACCAGCAGGUAGCACUGCAUUCAGUUUGACUUGGGGUGGGGGGGGCAAACAUCCUGGCUGGUAACACCAUCAGAAAAUAUCUGAUUCACAGGAAGUUGUUCCAAAUGCAAAAUCAUUUUUAAGGGGAAAUUUCUACAUGAAAGGAUUACACUGGUAAGAAUAAAUCAUGCUGCUCUCUCACUCCCACUUUCUCUGAGUAAAUGUGUAUGUAUCACAUUAACAUGGUUUUCAAGCUUGUAUUCUAGCUGCUAGGAAAACACAAGUAAAAAGUUAAAAACAAUAAUAAAAAAGAACAGCAAAAACUAACAAUCAACAAGAGUUCUAUUAUAAAUCAGAAGAAAUACAUAUACAAUGUAAAUAUAUAAAGUAUUUGCUGGAAGCUAGCUAGAAUUAUGGAUGUGGUGGAAAACUCAUCAUCAGAUUUUGCUUAAAAUCAGAUUACAGUUCAGUGUUUUAUGGGUUGUGUGUUACAGAAACCUCCUAAGAUUUUAGGCCUAAAUAUAAAAAUCUCAUUACACCAGCUAUAUAGUAGAAAUUUCACCAGUGUGGCAAGAAGUUCAGCUGAAUAAAAAGUUGAGGUGUAUGCUGUGUGUGUGGUGGAUAACCAGUGCACAUUGCCCAAACUAAGAUGUAUUUCGAAGCUCACUCCUAAAGACAACACUGGGGAUGGUGUUUUUUCCAACCUAGAAAAUCCUUCUAUUGAUUUUCUUCUUCCAUUUAAAGAAAUCCAUUACCUACCACAUUUCAAAGGAAAGGGUCCAUCCUGAAAAAACUCUUGUUUUUCUGCUGUUGCUUUCCCUGGGUCUCAGUAGGCGUGCAGCUACACACUUGAAUGUGUGUACAGCAGGCCAGCACAUUGCUCAUCCACUGCAGAGACAAAAUCCCGGCAGGCAGGCAGGCAGGCUGGUCUUACUGCUAACAGCCAUUGCAGAAUAAAAGAUUCUGAAGUGCUAAUGAAAGUCCCACUGAAGAAACCAAAGAACUUUUCAGACCCUAUUAGAAAGUAAUCUGUAAUCAGAUGUAUAAUUACACAUCAGGGUUCACUUAAGAAGUCCUACCAACCUCUGGCCUUCCUGUCCUUCUCUUUACACUAAAAUAUUUUUUUUUUCCUUUCUCUUUUCUUCUUUUCCUACACAAACUGUGCACUUGGCCCUUUGAGUAGAUUUACAAGAUCUACUCCUGACCUACUUUUCCAUUGUCAGUCCUGAAGCUCUUGUCAAGAAACUUGGCAGAACCAAAGAUUUAGUAGCAAAGCAGUGAAGUCCCUUAAUGAGCUACACCAGUGAGCAAACCUUCCCUAGCCUCACCCUGCCCUUGUUUCAGUUCCUUUGUUAUUCAGGUCAGGAGCAAACUCUCAAAGGAAGAAGCCUGAUCUCCCUCCUGAAGUAAAGACUCCGGAACUAAGCUCUUGAAUUUAACCAGAAUAGAGGUCCAAAGAGGACCCUAGGAGCAAGCAAGCACAUUUUUAACUUUUAGAGAAGAAGCCAAACUCAUUUGUCUCAUUUGGAGACGCACUGCUUUGAGCAGAAAUGUCUGAUUUGGGGUACCACUUUUAGAAGCUGAUAACAUGACAAAACCUAACAAUAAUUGUGAAGA
ensembl:lncRNA